rnacentral:rRNA from 1 species
GAUGAACGCUGGCGGCGUGCCUAAUACAUGCAAGUCGAGCGAACAGACGAGGAGCUUGCUCCUCUGACGUUAGCGGCGGACGGGUGAGUAACACGUGGAUAACCUACCUAUAAGACUGGGAUAACUUCGGGAAACCGGAGCUAAUACCGGAUAAUAUAUUGAACCGCAUGGUUCAAUAGUGAAAGACGGUUUUGCUGUCACUUAUAGAUGGAUCCGCGCCGCAUUAGCUAGUUGGUAAGGUAACGGGUUACCAAGGCAACGAUGCGUAGCCGAGCUGAGAGGGUGAUCGGCCACACUGGAACUGAGCCACGGUCCAGACUCCUACGGGAGGCAGCAGUAGGGAAUCUUCCGCAAUGGGCGAAAGCCUGACGGAGCAACGCCGCGUGAGUGAUGAAGGUCUUCGGAUCGUAAAACUCUGUUAUUAGUGAAGAACAAAUGUGUAAGUAACUAUGCACGUCUUGACGGUACCUAAUCAGAAAGCCACGGCUAACUACGUG